UUGUAAUGAUGCUGAUCCAAAUGUCUGACCUGAAUUGAGCAUGUAGACAAAUUUAACACUGAAGAA